GCAAGUUUAGAUCCCUGACACAGACUCCCAUAAAUAGCAAGUAGAUAAGGAACAGAAGCAUUCUUUUCUCAAUAUCCCUGCACUUUUAGGACAGAAGCCACACAGAAGACUGCAGCUGAUGGUUUUAGGUGGGAACAGGAGAAGGACUCUUGAUUGUUUUUUGAGGAAUAGCCUUCCUCCCUCCCCUCUGGCCUUUCAGGGUGACCAGAAGCCACGGAAUGAGGGGAGGCAAACAGGCCCUGUGUGUGUACUCUUGCAUCUGGAGUGAGGUCCUGGCGCUGUGCUGAUCACAUCUAUUCAGUGUGAGAGGAAAAAGCAGGUAAGAAGCAUCCAGUUGAUUGGCUUAACAUAGUUCUGGGUGUGGACAAUAGACUUCCUGAAGAGGGAAGACCCUGGGUGACACCAACCAAGUGGCUUGUAGCCUUAAUGGAAUGAGGAGAAAGAAGGAGGAAGGCUUGCAUCUGUUUCUUCAGAGGAGCUUCAGUCUUUCUUUUUGCCCUGCAUAUCCAUCUCCUGUUUUCUAGGCCAGACCUUUCUGCCUUCCACUGAAGACACUUCGACUUCCUGAUAUGGACUUACACAGUGAGCUCCAGGUCUUUCACUUUUGAUGGGAUUCUUGCAAUCUCCAGCUCAUUGAGUCUUUUGGACUCUUCUAUAUGUAAUUCUGCAGGUAGCCAUUGUAAGCCUACCUCAUAAAUCAUGAUCUAUAUAUCUGUAACUACAUUUAUAUCUAUGAUCUCUCCUAGAUACAGGGAAGAGCUAUAAACAAAUUCUUCUCUUGUUAGAUGUAUAGUCUAUUACAGAGUGUAAGCUCUAUUCUCCAGAUAAAUGUUUAUUAUGCCAAAGUAUGGAUUUAUGUAUUGAUCUUGUGUAUAUGUACUAAUGAAUAAUAUAUGUAUUAUAAAUUAAAACCUAUGUAUUUUAUUAGUACAUGAAUGUAGUAUAAGCUACAUUGGAUGAUAUCACUGAAAUUUUACACUAUAUAUGACGUCUUUUCCAAACUUUUCUUCUUUAUAACUAUGGUUUGUAGUUUCCCCUUUUCAUUCUACUAAAUUCACUUAUGUUAUAGUAUUUCAUAUGUUUAGGCAACAGGUAAUUUAAACCUCACCAUUUGAUAAUAGGUUAUUUUCACCAGUUUGGUAUCACAAAUAGUGCAUGGACAUUUUUUAAUAUGUAUCUUUGUUUAUAGGAUUCAAUUCUUUCUUGGAUGGCUACAUAGGGAUGAUAUGCCUGGGUCAAUAGCUUCAGUUACUAGGAAUCACUCUAAAAAGUGACUGGAAUAAUUUACACUUUUAUUAUCAGUGUGUGACUCUUAUUUCCCUACAUAACUGCCUCAAAAUGCCCAUAGCAUGUUUUUUCUUGAAUGUAAUGGAUGACUUCAAAGUAUUUACUUUGUUUACCAGUGACUUGAUUUUCUCUCCUGAGAAUUUCCUGUGUACAUCCUGUAAGCCUACCUAAUAACUUCCCUUGCAUAAUGGUAUAUUUUCUAUCAAUACUGCUCCUCUAGAGGGCUCUUGAAUUUCAUGAAGGUGUAACAUUGAAUAUUACAGAACUUCCUUUGCCCUGAAUUUACCUUAAGUCCUCUUUGCUCCUCAGAAGUUAAAGAAAACUUGAACUCUUUAAUGACUUAACUUGGAUUGAUUUUUGGCCCUUUGAUUUCUUCUCUUUCAAUCACACAAGCCUUUAGGUUCUUACAUCACACUGGGGAAAAAUUCCACUCCCAAACUCUGUGCCCUGUCCUGUGAUACUUUACUGCUGCUUGAGAUGUUAAAUAGAGAGAUCAUCCUAGAUAUGUCACAGCACCUUGUUUCCAUGAAAUGCGGCCAUUCAUUCUCUUGCUUUUGGAUGCCUUCGUAGUCCAUCCAUCCUACAGCUCUGAUCUACACUUGUGCUGUGCAGCUCCAGGAUGUGGAGAUCAGAGCGAUGUUAUACCUGGUUUAUUCUCAGAUGCCUACUUUUGAGAAAUCUAAUUACAUAUUUAAAAUAUCAGUCAAUCUAUACUUUUUAAAAUUGUUUUUAAUUUGUUUCUCAGAAAUAACAUUUCAAUUCCAAACAGAUGAUUUACAAGUUUUUUCAAUACAACUGUUUGAAUGUUAUUGCCAGUAUAUAAUUGCCAUGUUAAUUUUAUAAUCCUGUGUCACAAACUACUACAAACUUAGGGGAUUAAAUGUGACAUUUCAUAUGUCACAAUUUCUAUAGAUCAGAAGUCUGGGCAUAGCUGGAUUCUCUCUUCAGGAUCUUGGGAACUGAUUUCAAGGCAUCAUAGGAACUUGAGAUGCUCUAUCCAGAUCUUUCAGAUUGUCCACAGAGUUUAGUUAUUCACAGCUCCAGAAGUGAAGUCUGUUUCCUUGUUUACUAUUAUCAUGGCAUUGCUUCAGCUGUGGAUGUUCUCUUGGGUUCUUGCUACAUGGUCCUUCAAGAUGCAAUUUUUAAAAUUUUAGUUUUAAUUUUUUAUUUUGGAGAGAAUAAAACCAAAUGAAAUAAAGCAGAAUAGAGUCAAUCAAAAUGAAAUAAUGAACAUGGUACAUGGCUUCAAAACAAGAUAAAAAGGAAAUCAAUAAUGGCUACCAUAGUUCCUCUCGUUAUCUUCAAAAUAACUGCCCAUACCACCAGGGAUAAUAAAAUCAAACAAACUAGUGCAGAAUAAAACCAAUAAAAACAAACAAUGGAAGCAGUACAGGACUUCAAAAUGAUAUACUAGUAAAACAAUGGUGGCUAUCAUAAUGCCUCUUAUCUUCAAAGUAGUUGCCUAUAUCAUCAGAUAUAAUACAAUCAAACAAAACAGAAUAAAAUCAAUCAAAACAAAACAAUGAAAGCCAAACAUAGUCUCAAAACAGGAUAAUACGAAAUUAGUAAUGGCUACUGUAAUAUGUUUUGUUAUUUUAGAAAUAGCUAUCUAAGUCAUCAAAUAUAAUAAAAUUAGACAAACUGAAACUGAAUAAAACCAAAGUAAACAGUACAAUGCAAACCAUAUGGGCUUCAAAUCACAAUAAUACAUUAAUAAUGGCCAUUGCCUUUCCUUUUUAGCCACUUCCUCCUUUUUCACUUUCACAAUAUGUACUGUGCCUUUUGGAUCUCACUACCUCCCCAGUUUUCUACACUAUGGAGACAGCACAAUAUUUAGCCAUGUGACUCUGAACCAUUUCCCCAUGUGUAUAAUCUGAAGUUGUAUCCAUUUAACUACAAGAGCCUCAAGGUUGUCUUUCUUUAUAGCUGAGUAUAUUUCCACUGUAUAAAAAUGCCAUGUACUAAGCACCUCUCAAGAAGAUACAGAUGGAAGAAUGGAGGAACACAAAAAGAGGAGAGAAAUGUUUGAUGAAGAAUAUAAAGAAAACCUAGAAUACAUGAAGCAGAUUCAAAGAGAUUACCAGGAAAUUGAAAACUCCACUGAAACAUGGCAAAACUGCUUGAAAGAAACUAAGGAUAGACUAUUAAAACUUGAAGACAAGUUUGCAAUGUGUGAUCAUGAAAGGAAAGAUCUCUUAAAAAUAACAAGGAAACAGGCAGUACAAAUACAAAGUCUAGAAAGAUGACAAGAGGAUCUAUAACUUGAGAAUAAACAAUGUGAAUGAAGAAGCAGGGGUUAAAACAAAGGAAAUACAAAGGCUAUUUACAGAAAUAAUUAAGGAAAACUUCCCAAGCAUAGGAAAAGGAAAUGAUAUUCCGAUGUAUGAGGCAUACAGAACUCCAGCUACCUACAACCAAAACAGAGCUACACCCAAACAUAAUAAUCAAGCUACCUACAUCCAAUAAUCAAGGUCCCAGAAAUUCAACAUAAGAACAGAAUAUUAAAGCCAUCAGAGAAAAGAAACAGAUCACCUAUAAAGGAAAACCCAUUAAAAUCAUGGCAUACUUUUUGACACAGACCAUCAAAUCCAGAAGAGCUUGGAGCGAAGUAUUCUAAGCCCGGAAAGAAAAUAACCUCUGACCCAGAUUGCAAAACUGUCUCUAGAAAUUAAUGGAGAUACAAGAUGCUUCUAUGACAAAGAGGAAAUAGCAGAAUUUGUGAUCACCAAUCCAACCCUACAGAGAAUACUGAAGGACAUUCUAGAGAGAGAAAAAACCACCAAGAUUUCAGAAAUAGUGACAUAGAGGGCUCAAUGAAUGGAGCAGAUAGUGGAAUGAAGGAAAAAAGCAGAAAACCAGUGGCAGAAAAAUAGUAUAGCAGAAAUGAGGCAGAAAAGGUUGGCUAUAAUCUCUAAAUGGCCUUGAUACACUAAAAAAAAAAAAAAAAAGAAAGAAA